GCAUGGGUUUGAAGGUAUGUAACUCAUGGACUAGGUCUUGAGUACUGGUGUCUGUAUUUUCAUGAGAGUAGACAAAAGAAGAAGGCAAAUCAUUCUUGGUGGCUGUUUUUCAUAAGGUCAGAUAAUGAAAUACAAGUGCAAAGAAAAAACAGUGUGAUAGUAUCAAUUGCAUAUGUGAGCAAAGGUCACUGAAAGGAAGCAGCUUUCACAACUGGCCGGAGGAAGUUUCCUGACGUGGUGGUAAACUGAAGAGGUAUCUCCCACUUCCAAGGUGAAAAACCGAUCCACAUCAGAGAAACACAUCUGGACUUGCUAGUGGGCCUGUAUGGUACCAUGCAAAAGAUGGAGUUACUGGUGCAUUGCAGAGGUUUUGUGAUACUGCAUAAUGCAUUGAAAGGGUUGCAUAAUGGAUUACGUGAGAGUUGAGAUUUGUUUCUUGUUAAUUUCUCUAAUUAAUUGUCGUGGAACUUCAUCCAGUUACUACAGUAAUUGAGACUUCACUGAAAUCCUAACGUCUUACAGCAUAAUAUAUGAGUGUACUUGUAAUGGUUUCUUUUUUUUUUUUCUUUUCCCUUUUCCUUUUGAAACAGAAGGAAGAUGCAGCAUUUCCAAUUUGACUAACAUGUACGUUUUACAUGCUUAACAUGUUCAUAGUUGGAUUUUUUUUUAGAUGAUGAUGAUUUUUGCUGUUCAGAGUUUGACACAAAUUUGUUGGUUUUAGUUUCAAAACAAGAAUGAAACAUUGGAUUAAUUAUUACUUGCAUUGGGAAAAAUACAGUCAUUUUAUUAGCAUAAGUACUAGAGCUUUAAAAGAAAAAAAAUUCCACUCGCUGAAGGAGUGUGUUCACUUAAGGGGCCAACAUUUCCUCCAACUAGUUAUAAUUGGAAAAUGGAUUUAAUAGUCUUCCUCUGGAAAAAAACUUGUUAAGACUGAAUGAUAUAAAAUUUCUGAAAAUAAGACAACUGUUAUUAGAAUAAAAUGACAAAAAGUGUAGUGAAAGAUAUUUAUCAUCUGAAUAAUGCAUUUUUGCUUGGAGGCUUACUUAUAUUUAGACUCAGUGUUAUAAAUAUCACAGUUGUAAUUUUUUGGAUAGAAGAAUCACAACAGUAAUUGCUCUGAUACACUUGUGACAGAGAUUUUGGCAUUUUCCCCAGCCCAUUGGUAUAAGAUUUAGAUGAACAAAUAUGAAGAUGGAGAUUUUUUUUAAAGUUAGCUUGAUGCUUAUUAAUUUUUAAUGGCAUCUGAAAAUGUUUAGAACAUGUAACUUUAUCCCCUUGUUUUUACGUUUAUUAUGACUUCAAAAAUACUUCUUAGUUUAGUUUUCUUGAAUUGUUACUGUGUUAUGUAAGUCUUUAUUUAUUUAUUUACUUAUUUCUAUUUUCCUGUCUUACUGACAAGAUUAUAUUGUUUUUCCAAAGUACUUCACCCAUCAAGGAAGUUUUUUCUAUCUUUAUGUGGUUAUAUUCUGCAGAGGAGUGAACAAAGAAAUGUAUGCUUGAUUAUUAUUUGACUGAGUCUCUCUACUUGAUUCCUUUCGGCCAGAAAUAUUCUUAUACCUUAAAAUUAAAAACUAAUCUGUCUGUGAACCAUUAUCAUUAAACUGUUAAGAUUAAUGAGGGUAUUUACUUCCUGACAAUGAAGACAGUUUCUUUAUUGUUUUUAGUAAUUGUACUAGGCAACAGUAAGCUGCUACAUUUUAUUUUAUUCAGUUCAGUGCUUCUGGAUGUCUGGAAAGUUGACUUUUCAGGUUUUUUUAAAUUUAUUUAUCAAAAGUCCUUGAUUAAAUUUAACCUGAAUUUUACAAUUCGUUUUGUUUUGAACUGUGCCUGCUUAAACCAUUCUAAAUAAUUCUCUUCAACCC
rnacentral:lncRNA from 7 species